AAGUAUGUCUAGAGGGGGGUGAUUAGACUACUUGUCAAUAUAAAAAUUCUGCCUUUUGACAAAGAACAGUUUUUGGCAGAUUCACAAUUAUGAUCAAGUCAAGCAUCACCCUACACAUGCAAUUCUAGAGUAUAGGCAGCGAAAAGUAAAUUGCACAUGUAGUAAAGAGAGGUGGAGAAGAGCAAACGCAAUUUUGGAGACGUGGUGAUUUUUCCCGUGGUUCCGAUAGGUGGCGCUAUCGUACAUCCACGUUGAUGGAGACUUCAACCCACGGAGGGUAACGACUGCGCGAGUCCACAAAGGGCUCCACCCACGAAGGGUCCACGAAGAAGCAACCUUGUCUAUUCCAUCAUGGCCUACGCCCACGGAGGGCUAGCCUUACUCGGGGUAGAUCUUCACGAAGUAGGCGAUCUCCUUGUCCUUACAAACUUCUUGGUUCAACUCCACAUCUCGACGACGGAGGCUCCCAAGCGACACCUAACCAAUCUAGGAGGCACCACCCUCCAAAAGGUAAUAGAUGUUGUAGAUGAUGAUGAACUCCUUGCUCUUGUGCUUCAAAUGAUAAUCUCCCCAACACUCAACUCUCCUCACUGAUUUGGCUGUGGUGGAAGAAAGGAUUGAGUGGAAAGCAACUUGGGAAGGCUAGAGAUCAAGCUUCAUAUGGUGGGAGUGGAGCAACUUGAUCUCAACACAAGGGUAGGUAGUUCUCUUCUCAGAAAUGUAAGGUAGGAGUGGUAGUUCUUUAUGAUGGCUCUCUCCACGAAUGAAGAGGGGGUGGAGGGGUAUAAAUAGCCUCCACACAAAAUCCAACCGUUACACACAUUUGAGCAAUCUCGGUGGGACUGAAGUGGACAACUCGGUGAGACCGAUAGUUCAAAUAAUGUGAACAUUGGGAUUUUCGGUGGGACCGAAUAUACAAUCUCGGUUAGUCCGAUUCGUGCAAUGACACUAGCAUGCCAGUUUUGGUGGGACCGACUUCAUCAUCUCGGUGACACCGAUUUGAUGACAGAAGGUUACAGAACCUUGGCAACUCAUGUUUCGGUGAGACCGAGUUCAGAAUCGGAAAAUCCGAGUUUACUAGGGUUUGGCUUAUGGCUAAGGUGGUUCAUCUCGGUGUGACUGAGUUUGGAAUAUCGGUGGGACCGAGACUACUUAUGAGUGUCUAUGGCAGUGAAAGUUGCUGAUAGUUUAGGAGAUGUAUCACUAAGCACUUGAGCAACCAGAUCAUCAUCAUAACCUCAUGCCCUUUUAAUAGUAUUGGCUUUUCCUAUGGACUCAAUGUGAUCUUGGAUCACUAAACCAAAAAUGGAGUCUUGAGCUUUUGCCAAUGCUUGCCUUAGCAUUUUGGGGGGUCCACUUCUUCAGUCCUUGCCAUACCCAUAUCACUGAACUCUCUGAAAUGAUUCUCAAGUAACUAUUAGUUCAAUGAUAUAUAUGUUGUUAUUAGUUACCAAAACCACCCGGGGAUUAGUUGCACUUUCAAUCUCCCCCUUUUUGGUAAUUGAUGACAACAUAUAGAUCAAAGCUUCGACAAAGGAUAUAAUCAAUGAAUAAUAUCGUCGCUUUGAGAAGUAUGUGAUAAGCAAGAGCUCCCCCUAAAUUUGUGCAUUAUUUAAGAUUUGCGUUUGAAUGCAAAUGCACAAUCGAUUAGGAUCAUGGGUCACUCUUCCAUGUCACAUACAUCUUGGUGGAGCAAACAAAAUGAUAAGAAUGAACAGCAUGCACCCAAUCACCAAGACAUGAGUAAAUGGUCAUACGAGAUAGGAAUGUCAUAUGAUAAGCAUUAAGCACACAUUAAAGCAUAGUAAGACCAAGCACUCAUUAAGGUAGAAUCAAACGGAGUAUCAAACACACUGAAUGUCUCGAAAACCAAAAGUAUCUCAAACAAACCGCAAAAGAACGAAAGAGCAAAACCGCAAAGACAACAGCACUCUCUCUCUCUCGAAGCCCUAUGAUCUAUACAAUUUCUCCCCCUUUGGCAACAAGUUACCAAAAAGUUCGAAAAAGCAUAGAGCUAAGCGUCACUGUGGACUCUGCUGGCGGCUCCCGUCUGGGUUGAUGUCGGAGUGGAUAUGACAGCAUCGGCAAAGACUUCAGCUGAUGUCUGUGCUGGAGGAGUGGACACUGGAGCUGGAGCUGGAGUAGGAGCAACUGCUGGAACUGUGGGAGGUGCUGAAGCUGUAGUCCUGGUGUCAGUCACUGGAAUAGCAGCUGAUCGGGAUCCUUUGGGAACUGGAGCAGUCUGUCGAUGAGAAUCCUGGACUAAGUCAUCCUGCAACUCACGCAUAAGCUCUGCCUUGUCCUGCUUUGCUUCCUCAAUGUCUGCCUCGAGCUUGUUGACGGUCACUUGUACUUCAGUCAGCUUCAUGUCCAGAGCGUGGAUCUUCUCGUCAACAAUCCUCUCUAAGCUCUCCUGAGACUGUUCAAUGCUGGCCAGGCGUUGUUCAAUCCUUUGAGUAGCUUCAAGAAUUUGCUCUCCGAAACUCUUUGGUUUAGCUGCUGCUGCUGCUGCUUCCUUGUCAGCUUUGGCUUUCUUAGCAGCUGCGAUCUUGGCUUGACCUUCAACAGAUGUCGGAUCCUCCUCAUCCAUCACAACAACAUUGUCUUCAUGCUCUGGCUGCAACGGUAAAUGUUCUCUAUCCAACAAGAAUGUGCCCGUGCCAAACUUGGCAUUGAUAAGCAUAUGAAUCUGCGGGGCAAAUCCACACGACCUUUUGUGAUCAGCUGCAGUCCUCUUAAUGGUCUCUACCAUCAAGUUCAUCACCUUGAAAGGUGCUCUCUCAUCAAGUAUGUGCAGCAUGUUGAUAGAGUAUCCUCUGAUCAUGCGAUCAUCUCCAGAUUUGGGCAUCAAGGUAUGCCUCAAAAUGGUAUUAGUUGUAGGUAAGCCUACCUGGAGAUGGUAGACUGAGCCGAGCUUCCAGAUUUGCAAAUCCUCUGCUGGAACCUCUUUGUACAUGUUUUUCAUGGAUUCAUGAUUCUUCUUUGGAAUCCCAUAUACAUCAAUAUCAUCUUCUCAUUGCAUUGGAGCAUUCAGAAUUUCUGCCCAUUCUUCAACAGAAGAAGAAAACCUUUGACCUUCAGUCAUCCACAUAAUCUUUCCAUCAGGGUAGAAGUGAGCUGUGGCGUAAAAUUGCAUUAUCAUCUCAUCGUUCCAACUGGUCAAUUUCUGACCUACAAAAUCUGCAACUCCACAUGCAGUGAAACUUUCAUGCACAUGUGGAAAGAAAUCUCUGUGCUCUUCGCUGUCAAUGUACUUCCAGUCAACAUAUCUGGUGUCUGCGACUAUGGGCUUCUUGUCCAUCAGCACGGUCUCAUAGAAGUCCUGCUGCUCUCUGGUGUGAAAUCUGGGAUCUACAGCAGUUCUUCUCCUCACGGCAUAUGGGUCAGUUGGUCUCCAUAGCCUGAGACCUUUAUCUUUCCUUGCCUUCAUAUCCUCAGCUUGAGGAUGAGCAUCAUUAUGGAGUGGCAGUUUUGGACGAAGUUUCAGCAAAACUGGUCCUUCAUCGUCAAACUCAGCUAGUGGCACAUCAUCCUUGUUCUUUUCAGACGCUGGAAUGUUUCUGAUGGUCCUCCUGGGCUUGGCAGCAGGCUUUGCUGGAGCUGCCUUAGCUGGAGCAGAUUUCUUGGGCUUUGAUGUGGCUCCAGCCUUAAUGGCAUCACCCAUGAGCUUCGGCUUCUGAGGAGGAGGCUGGGGUGCUUCCUCAUCCUCAUCCUCUACUGCUGCAUCUGCAUGCACUAUUCUCUUUCUCUUGGUGGUUUUCUUCACUUUGCUUGCAGCUGCCUCUCCCAAAUUCAGCUUCUUAGCAACAGUUGACUGCUUGACUUUGCUGGUGCCCUUCUUAGAUUGUUGAUCUUGUUGCUCUUUGGCAACAACCUUCCUUUUAGGCUUUGAGGUCACCUCUUCCUCAACAACAAAAUAUGAAUCCUCAUCAUCUGAAUUCCUCUUCUUUCUAGCUCUGGUGGCUGCAGGAGGCAUGCCACUUGGUGUACUCCUCUCACCAUCAUCAGAUGAGCUACUAGGAUCAGGACUAGUGCCUGCCUCUAGAAUGUCUGCAAUGGGUGUCUCUGACCUGUUCUCACUGUCACUGGCAUCUGACAUGGCUGACAACCUGUGAAUAGAUAAGGUGUAGGCAGAGAAGAAGAGUCAUCACAAACUGCAGAAGUUUUUGCAAAAAAAAUGAGUUCAAAUUCUAGUAUUAAGUUUUCACAGAAGACAUUUCGGUCAGACCGAGUUUAAGGUUCGGUGAAUCCGAAGUGUUAAAUAGGAGCUUGGCACACCACUUUCGGUUUGACCGAAGUGGGUUUCGGUCCUGCCGAAAACACUAGGGUUUCACAGAAUCUUCAUUUCGGUCACACCGAUUUUGCACAACUCGGUUGGACCGAAGGGUGCAGUGCAAUGGCCAUAGGCCAAAUCGGUCAUACCGAAAAUAUAAAAUAGGUCUCACCGAGAUGUGUUCCGCGGAAACCUAACCCUAAAACUUUUACUCGAAUCUAGUUCAAACGAACCAAUCUGGUGUACAGGAGGAUUUCAAUCGUGGCAAGAUACUAGGCAAUCCAAACGUGCAUUGAAUCGGAGAUGGGAGCACGAGUGGGAUCAAAACUCACCCUAACUUGGUGGAGUUUUUCUACGGCGGCAACGGCUCGGAGGAGAUGGCCGUUGACGGCGACGGAGACCUGCGGCGAGGGCGCACAUGCGACGACGGCGACGAUCCGGAGACCAAGGCGACGGCAGCAAGGCGUGUGGGGGCGAAACGUUUGAAGGAGGAAUCAACGCGCGCGACCCUCGGAAUAUAUACCCCUUCGCUGUCAGUGGGACCGAGUUGUAAAACUCGGUGGCACCGAGAUGGAUAACUGCUAGGCAGUUAUGCACUUCGGUCACGCCGAAAAUCACAACUCAGUUUCACCGAGAUGAAAACCUAGAUCAGUCUAAAUGCUUUCGGUUCGACCGAGUUUGAGUGAGUUGGUCUGACCGAAAUCAAUUAGAAGGUUUUGGAAAUUAGCCCUUGACGGAUCGGUGGCUCCGAGUGCUCCUCACCCGGAGGGUCCGAAAAUGACUUGUUCAAAAUUUAUGAUGUAAGCAUGAAUAGAAUUUGAGACAAGAAAGCAUAGAUAGCUAGGGGAGGUACUUAGGCAUUCUUGUCCAUCCAUUUGGUCAGAAAAAUCAAAACGACCAAAACAACAAAUGGAUGUCCUCGAAUGGAUAAAAUCAUGCAUCCAACAUGCUCACACAAUAAGAUAGCAAAUGAAAUAUGUGUCAAACAUGCACAACCAAAACUCUAGCAACUAACACACAAUUUGUCGAUGACUAGGUCAUCUUUAUAUGAGUAUAUUGACUUAGGAGCCAAAUGAGAACAUUUGAUCAUAGGUCAUACUCAUCGUUUAAGCACAAGUGGGGUUACCACUUUUACAUAAAGCAUUGAUGUGUUCACAUCAUUUGAAGAUGCUUUAGCUCAAUUUUUAGAGCAAAGCUCCCCCUAGAUGUGAGAACCCCUUUUAAAGGGUCAAACUAACCUUGGGUUGUCGUAGAAGACUUCAUGUAGAUGUUGAAGAUGUGGAUGCUCAAUGUUGAUGGAGAUCAUCAAGAGUUGGGAGCUAUCCUUUGGAUUCGGGCACUUUCAAUACCUACAUGGGUUAGUCCCACAAGGAACAAACAAGGAUAUCCAUGGACAUAGAUUGAAGUUCACAAUAGAUGAUGUCCAUGAAAGCAAUGAUUACCUUGUCCCUUGACUUACCAACAAGAGGGUUUGUGACUCCAUGAACUAGUGCACGAUGUGGAAGUUGAUUGCACAAGUUUUUACCAAAAUGAAUGUGAGUGAAGUAUGUUGGCGGAGUCACCCUCAAGAACUUUCUAGUUCUUCUUCUUCGGGAUCCACAUCAUCUUGAUGGGAAUCCUUGGGGUUGUAGUUGAGCUUGACGAAGUAGAACUUGACGUUUCCUUGGGAACCCACUUGACCAUGGCUUGAGGUGCUUCAACAAAUGCAUCAAUCUCCUCUUGAAGCUUGUCCUUGCCUUUUAGCUUGUGGUCUUGUGGUGGAAGGUCAUCUUGAGCUUGUUCCACAUUGGAAGAAGUAGGAUCAUACUUCUCCUUUUGAGGAACAAACUGUGGAGUAGGAUAUUGACCUUCUUCCCACUCAACGCCUUCGGCGUUGAACUUUCGCUCAAAACCAAUUCCUUGAUUCUUCCGGUGCCUUCCUUGCUUGCGAACAAUUUCCUCAAAGUUCUUGCUUCCGGCAAGGCUCUUGUAGACACCUUUCUCUAUGAUCCCUUUCAAUAAACUAUUCUCUUGCUCAAGUGUAACUUGGCUUGAAACAUUGUUAGUGGAAUCAAGAGAACUACUAGAAGCAACAACAUUGGAUUUAGCAUGGUUAUUGUUACUGCUAGAGGAAGAAUUUUUCUUAUGCUUGUCAUGCUUAGUCUUAAUGGGUGGCAAGAAAUUAGACAAGAGAAGUCGUUUGGCAAGAUAUGAAGAACUCUUCUUUCGAAGAUCGUCAUUGAUUGCUUUUAGAAACUCAUGUUCUUGCUCUAGAGUGAGCUUCUCGAAGCGUAGCUUCUCAUGAGAUCUUAGGAGCUCUCUAUGAUCUUCUUGAGUUGUUUCAUGAGCUAACUUAAGAGUGUUUAGUUCUUUAGUUAGACGCUCAAUCUCCUUCAUAGCAUUGUCAUUCGACUCUUCUCGACUAUAAAGACUACUAGCAUGUUCAUCGUUACUAGGCUCACUGGAUUUAUCAUGCAAGAGCUCAUCUUCACCAAGCAAGUCAUCCUCAUCACUAUCGAAGUCAAUGAAUUCAGGGUGUGAUACCUUGGGGCCUUUAGCCAUGAAGCAUCUUCCAAUUCCCUCAUUUGGUGAAUCAAAUAAGUCGUAGGAGUUCGAGUUGGAGGAUACGAGAGCAAGACCGGCAACACCUUCAUCUUGACUGUAGUCGGAGUCGGAGUGAUAGCUUCCUUCGGAUUGAUUGUCGGAGUCGGAGCCGGAGACCCAUUCUCCUACAUGAGCUUGAUGUUUUCUUCUUGUGUAGCUCCUUGAUGACUUGUCUUUCCUCUCCGAAUCCUUGCUUCUCCGAGAGGGUCUUCGUUCAUAACGAUCAUCUCUGCUCCUUCUCUCUUUCCGAGGUGACUCAUCUCUUGAGCUUCUUCUUCUUGGAGAUUCUUCUCUUCUCUUGUGGGGAGCCGUACACUCAUUUGAGUAGUGUCCGGGUCUUCCACAAUUGUAGCAGUUUCGAUCACGACUAGAAGAUCUCUUUUCAUCAUAUGAUCUAGACUUUGAGCUUCUCUCUUUGCCUCUAUUCUUGUAGAAUUUGUUGAAGUUCUUGACCAUUAGGCUUAUCUCUUCAUUGGAAACUAACUUGUCACUUGAGGUUGUGGGAGCAUCACUUGUAGCUUUGUAAGCACCACUUGACUUGUUGUGAAGCUCAUCCUUAUCCUUAAGUGUCAUCUCAUGAGCAACAAUUCUUCCAAUGACUUCAGUUGGCUUGAGAGUCUUGUAGUUUGGCAUCAUUUGGAUCAAAGUGCACACGGUGUCAUACUUUCCAUCCAAAGCUCUGAGAAUCUUCUUGAUGAUGAAUCGGUCGGUCAUUUCUUCGCUUCCUAAGCCGGCAAUCUCAUUUGUGAUGAGAGCAAGCCUAGAGUACAUUUCAGCGACUCCUUCACCAUCCUUCAUCUUGAACUUGUCAAGUUGACCUUGAAGAAUAUCUAGCUUUGAUUCCUUCACGGACUCGGUACCUUCGUGCAUUUCAACCAAAGUAUCCCAAAUCUCUUUUGCAUUCUCAAGACGGCUGAUUUUGUUGAACUCCUCGGGACACAAGGCAUUGAAGAGAAUGUCGCAAGCUUGAGCAUUGUUUUGCAACAUCUGCAAUUCUUCCGGUGUAGCUUCGCGAUCCGGAACUUUUCCUUCCUCGAAGAAUUCACCUUGCAUACCAACACAAAUAAUGCCCCAUGCGGCUGGGUUAUGACCAAGAAUAUGCAUUUUCAUUUUAUGCUUCCAACUAGCAAAACUUGUACCAUCAAAGUAAGGACCUCUACGAAAAUUACCCUCACUAGACGCCAUACUCUCCUAGGUUGUGAAACCAAGCUUAUGGAGUCCAAUGCAAUGGAAACCAAUACAAUGGAGACCAAAGCUCUGAUACCACUUGUAGGAUCGAAAGUAUGUCUAGAGGGGGGGGUGAUUAGACUACUUGUCAAUAUAAAAAUUCUGCCUUUUGACAAAGAACAGUUUUUGGCAGAUUAACAAUUAUAAUCAAGUCAAGCAUCACCCUACACAUGCAAUUCUAGAGUAUAGGCAGCGGAAAGUAAAUUGCACAUGUAGUAAAGAGAGGUGGAGAAGAGCAAACGCAAUUUUGGAGACGCGGUGAUUUUUCCCGUGGUUCCGAUAGGUGGCGCUAUCGUACAUCCACGUUGAUGGAGACUUCAACCCACGGAGGGUAACGGCUGCGCGAGUCCACGGAGGGCUCCACCCACGAAGGGUCCACGAAGAAGCAACCUUGUCUAUUCCAUCAUGGCCUACGCCCACGGAGGGCUAGCCUUACUCGGGGUAGAUCUUCACGAAGUAGGCGAUCUCCUUGCCCUUACAAACUUCUUGGUUCAACUCCACAUCUCGACGACGGAGGCUCCCAAGCGACACCUAACCAAUCUAGGAGGCACCACCCUCCAAAAGGUAAUAGAUGUUGUAGAUGAUGAUGAACUCCUUGCUCUUGUGCUUCAAAUGAUAAUCUCCCCAACACUCAACUCUCCUCACUGAUUUGGCUGUGGUGGAAGAAAGGAUUGAGUGGAAAGCAACUUGGGAAGGCUAGAGAUCAAGAUUCAUAUGGUGGGAGUGGAGCAACUUGAUCUCAACACAAGGGUAGGUAGUUCUCUUCUCAGAAAUGUAAGGUAGGAGUGGUAGUUCUUUCUGAUGGCUCUCUCCACGAAUGAAGAGGGGGUGGAGGGGUAUAAAUAGCCUCCACACAAAAUCCAACCGUUACACACAUUUGAGCAAUCUCGGUGGGACCGAAGUGGACAACUCGGUGAGACCGAUAGUUCAAAUAAUGUGAACGUUGGGAUUUUCGGUGGGACCGAAUAUACAAUCUCGGUUAGUCCGAUUCAUGCAAUGACACUAGCAUGCCAGUUUCAGUGGGACCGACUUCAUCAUCUCGGUGACACCGAUUUGAUGACAGAAGGUUACAGAACCUUGGCAACUCAUGUUUCGGUGAGACCGAGUUCAAAAUCGGAAAAUCCGAGUUUACUAGGGUUUGGCUUAUGGCUGAGGUGGUUCAUCUUGGUGUGACUGAGUUUGGAAUAUCGAUGGGACCGAGACUACUUAUGAGUGUCUAUGGCAGUGAAAGUUGCUGAUAGUUUAGGAGAUGUAUCACUAAGCACUUGAGCAACCAGAUCAUCAUCAUAACCUCAUCCCCUUUUAAUAGUAUUGGCUUUUCCUAUGGACUCAAUGUGAUCUUGGAUCACUAAACCAAAAAUGGAGUCUUGAGCUUUUGCCAAUGCUUGCCUUAGCAUUUU
rnacentral:lncRNA from 1 species